rnacentral:rRNA from 1 species
GAUGAACGCUGGCGGCGUGCCUAAUACAUGCAAGUCGAGCGAACAGACGAGGAGCUUGCUCCUCUGACGUUAGCGGCGGACGGGUGAGUAACACGUGGAUAACCUACCUAUAAGACUGGGAUAACUUCGGGAAACCGGAGCUAAUACCGGAUAAUAUAUUGAACCGCAUGGUUCAAUAGUGAAAGACGGUUUUGCUGUCACUUAUAGAUGGAUCCGCGCCGCAUUAGCUAGUUGGUAAGGUAACGGCUUACCAAGGCAACGAUGCGUAGCCGACCUGAGAGGGUGAUCGGCCACACUGGAACUGAGACACGGUCCAGACUCCUACGGGAGGCAGCAGUAGGGAAUCUUCCGCAAUGGGCGAAAGCCUGACGGAGCAACGCCGCGUGAGUGAUGAAGGUCUUCGGAUCGUAAAACUCUGUUAUUAGGGAAGAACAAAUGUGUAAGUAACUAUGCACGUCUUGAAGGUACCUAAUCAGAAAGCCACGGCUAACUACGUG